rnacentral:rRNA from 1 species
AACGAACGCUGGCGGCAUGCCUAACACAUGCGAGUCGAACGAGACCUUCGGGUCUAGUGUCGCACGGGUGCGUAACGCGUGGGAACCUGCCCUUAGGUUCGGAAUAACUCCCCGAAAGGGGUGCUAAUACCGGAUAAUGUCUUCGGACCAAAGAUUUAUCGCCUUUGGAUGGGCCCGCGUUGGAUUAGCUAGUUGGUAGGGUAAAAGCCUACCAAGGCGACGAUCCAUAGCUGGUCUGAGAGGAUGAUCAGCCACACUGGGACUGAGACACGGCCCAGACUCCUACGGGAGGCAGCAGUGGGGAAUAUUGGACAAUGGGCGAGAGCCUGAUCCAGCAAUGCCGCGUGAGUGAUGAAGGCCUUAGGGUUGUAAAGCUCUUUUACCCGGGAUGAUAAUGACAGUACCGGGAGAAUAAGCUCCGGCUAACUCCGU